AUAUAAAAAACCCAAUAUCUGCUGAAUAAAUCCUAAAAAUGCGUAGUUUGAACAUGUCAAAGUGUUAAACACCUGAAUUUUUGAAAACUGUAUCGAGCCACCUUAAUGACAUAUCAGGCUAACUUGUAUUUCAGCGAAUUGUCGUUAGGGUUUGUAAGGGAUAUGGCGUAGAUUUAGACAUCUUACAAGUAAGUCUUAGCUCAUUGUUUCCUGAAAGAUGAACGCUCGAAAUUAUGCAAGUAUUUAAUAGGUCUUUACAAACUUAAAGGUACAUGAAAGACCAUGCAAGGCAGACGCUUAAAUUUUUCUUAAAUAGCCUAAUUUUUUUAUGUUUUUCAUGGGUUCAAAACAGAG